UACGUAGGGACCAAGCGUUGUUCGGAUUUACUGGGCGUAAAGGGCGCGUAGGCGGCAAUUCAAGUCAUCUGUGAAAUCUCCGGGCUUAACUCGGAACGGUCAGAUGAUACUGCUUUGCUAGAGUGCGGGAUGGGAGAGUAGAAUUCCUGGUGUAGCGGUGAAAUGCGUAGAUAUCAGGAGGAAUACCGGUGGUGUAGACGGCUCUCUGGACCGCCACUGACGCUGAGACACGAAAGCGUGGGUAGCAAACAGG
rnacentral:rRNA from 1 species